ensembl:processed_transcript 2500004C02Rik RIKEN cDNA 2500004C02 gene
UUUUUUUUUUUUUUGAACAAAAACAAACCGAAAGGGUGGCUGGGAUUUGUAGUCCUCACUGGCUUCCUGGCCUACCCCUCUCCGGAAGAAAAUGGCUGCCUCAAGUGCUUGGACCACAUUUCCCGGAGUGCCCCGGGCUCCUGUUUUCCGCCCACUUUCUUCCGUACCCCGCUGCGCUCCAAGCACGGUGACCUUUGAAAGUUAACAGGGGUGCCAUGGGCUGAGUAAGAUAAACGGAACUUCUGUUCAACCCCGCCCAGUCUGGGGAUGAGUCAUUGUUUUCAAAUUUAUGAACAAAGCACACAAAUUAAGAAUAAUACAAGCAAGAAACAGCAGAGAGGCACAAAAGGACAUAGAAUCCCUGAUCCUCACUGUGAUCUGGUAACACUAGUUCUAGGGCUGGAGAGAGAGAUGCUCAGGGCUUAAAAGCACCAAGUGCUCUUACAGAGAACAUGAGUUCAAUUCCCAGAACCCACAUGGUACCUCACAACUGCCUAUUUCAUACAUGUGGGGCAGAACACCGAUACACAUACUUUUUUUUUAAGAAUUGAAAAAAAAAACUUGGUUCUGGACUCCAGUGGGUCUGAGUUUGAAACCGUAGCUGUUCUCCAGUUGUGUGGCCUUGAAUAAGUUAUGCAACUUCAUCAACCAAGCACUGUCAUUGGACAGCAGAGAAUAUGACAAAAGUCAACGGGCGAUCUGAACAAGUGGCACAUGCUUGCAUACUUGGAUGACACAGUUCGAGAAGCACUUGAACCCUGAAGUUUACAAACAGCCUCGAUAACACAGGAAGACCCCAUCUCAGAAGAACAGAUGAGAUCACUAUUUCUCAGCUUCAGCAUUGCAGAUGAUCAGCUAAUGUGGAACUCUCCAGCCCCUUUGCACAUUGCAUUUCUUUGCAUGGCUUUUGGUUGGUAACUAUACAUUUGGCAUCUGUUUGGAUUUUUUUUUCUGUAUACCCCAAAUGUCAGCCAUAGUCAUAUAGUAGGCAGUCAAACUGUUGGUGUAUGAACCAUUCUCAGUAAUUCUUUUGUUGUAGACAGUCUCUGAGGAAUUAUCCCCUAUUGAAUGGUCUCAUAACAGUUUUGGAAAGCGCUCAUGUAGGGAAAAAACUAAGAUAAGAUUUUACCCAGGAAGAUCUCCACAAGUGCAAAGUAGAGACUUCAGGACAUUCCCAGUCUCGUUGUGUUGCCAAAUCUACCCUCACAAUGCAUGACUUAACUCAUAAAUCCUGGGCCAGUCACAGUUUUUUAAAUUCUUCUCUUUAGUCUCCCAUGCUCUGGAGAAGGUAUUUAAAUUGCCAAAAUGUUUACAAUAGUUCUCUAGGUUUUAUAAGACUAGUUAGUUUACUGGUAAUUUUUCUGUACAAAAAAAUUGCAUUGGGCUGGUGAGAUGGCUCAGUGGGUAAGAGCACCCAACUGCUCUUCUGAAGGUCUGAAGUUCAAAUCCCAGCAACCACAUGGUGGCUCACAACCAUCCGUAAUGAGAUCUAACUCCCUCUUCUGGAGUGUCUGAAGACAACUACAGUGUAAUUACAUAUAAUAAAAAUAAAUAAAUCUUAAAAAAAAAUACUUGCCAAAAAAUUGCAUUAUUUUAACUUUAAAAGUUUUUACUUCAAAANNNNNNNNNNNNNNNNNNNNNNNNNNAUAAUAGUGAUAUAGUAAAUAUAUUUUUUAUUUUUUCUGUCACAUCUUCCAAAUCUAGAAUGUGUGCUCCAUUAUGAUGUAAAAGUAAAGUUUCAUUAAUAUCAGCCAACAGUGGAAGACCAUCUUUAAUAAUAGAUUCUUCUUCCCACUUUGGUGGACCUGUAGAGUGGCCUCAAAGGGAGAUUUAAGCUGGUUUUUAUCAAAAUUUUGGGACAUGACAUUUCCUGACAGAAUAAAGUUUUCUGGUAGAAAUUUCU